ACACUAAUGGUGUAAUGGUAACAUAACCGCCUUCCAAGGCCAGCGAAUUUGCUGAAACCGAUAAAAGCAGUUGCCUAGGGUUCGAUUCCCUAUUAGUGUA
rfam:Kwoniella mangroviensis CBS 10435 unplaced genomic scaffold supercont2.6, whole genome shotgun sequence.